UGACCUCGGAUCAGGUAGGAAUACCCGCUGAACUUAAGCAUAUCAAUAAGCGGAGGAAAAGAAACCAACAGGGAUUGCCCCAGUAACGGCGAGUGAAGCGGCAACAGCUCAAAUUUGAAAUCUGGCCCUAGGCCCGAGUUGUAAUUUGCAGAGGAUGCUUUUGGCGCGGUGCCUUCCGAGUUCCCUGGAACGGGACGCCAUAGAGGGUGAGAGCCCCGUACGGUUGGACACCAAGUCUUUGUAAAGCUCCUUCGACGAGUCGAGUAGUUUGGGAAUGCUGCUCAAAAUGGGAGGUAUAUUUCUUCUAAAGCUAAAUAUUGGCCAGAGACCGAUAGCGCACAAGUAGAGUGAUCGAAAGAUGAAAAGCACUUUGAAAAGAGGGUUAAACAGCACGUGAAAUUGUUAAAAGGGAAGCGCUUGUGACCAGACUUGCGUCCGGUGAAUCACCCAGCUCUCGCGGCUGGGGCAUUUUGCCGGCUCAGGCCAGCAUCAGCUUGCCGUCGGGGACAAAAGCUUCGGGAACGUAGCUCUCUUCGGGGAGUGUUAUAGCCCGUUGCAUAAUACCCUUCGGUGGGCUGAGGUACGCGCUCCGCAAGGAUGCUGGCGUAAUGGUCAUCAGCGACCCGUCUUGAAACACGGACCAAGGAGUCAACCUUAUGUGCGAGUGUUUGGGUGUUAAACCCCUACGCGUAAUGAAAGUGAACGCAGGUGAGAGCUUCGGCGCAUCAUCGACCGAUCCUGAUGUUCUCGGAUGGAUUUGAGUAAGAGCAUAUAGGGUUGGACCCGAAAGAAGGUGAACUAUGCGUGUAUAGGGUGAAGCCAGAGGAAACUCUGGUGGAGGCUCGCAGCGGUUCUGACGUGCAAAUCGAUCGUCAAAUAUGCGCAUGGGGGCGAAAGACUAAUCGAAC
rnacentral:rRNA from 1 species